rnacentral:misc_RNA from 1 species
GGGAGAUGAAAGUCUCCAGGUCUCUCGUCGAAA